rnacentral:rRNA from 1 species
GACGAACGCUGGCGGCGUGCUUAACACAUGCAAGUCGAACGGUGAAGGGACCAGCUUGCUGGUUCUGGAUGAGUGGCGAACGGGUGAGUAACACGUGAGUAACCUGCCCCCUUCUUCUGGAUAACCGCAUGAAAGUGUGGCUAAUACGGGAUAUUCUGGGUCUGUCGCAUGGCGGGCCCGGGAAAGAUAUUGCUUCGGUGGGGGAUGGGCUCGCGGCCUAUCAGCUUGUUGGUGGGGUGAUGGCCUACCAAGGCGGUGACGGGUAGCCGGCCUGAGAGGGUGGACGGUCACACUGGGACUGAGACACGGCCCAGACUCCUACGGGAGGCAGCAGUGGGGAAUAUUGCACAAUGGGCGCAAGCCUGAUGCAGCGACGCCGCGUGAGGGAUGGAGGCCUUCGGGUGGUAAACCUCUUUCGCCAGUGAAGCAGGCCUGCUCCUUGUGGGUGGGUUGACGGUAGCUGGAUAAGAAGCGCCGGCUAACUACGU